UACGUAGGGUGCGAGCGUUAAUCGGAAUUACUGGGCGUAAAGCGUGCGUAGGCGGUCCCGCAAGUCCGCUGUGAAAGCCCCGAGCUUAACUUGGGAACUGCAGUGGAAACUAUGGGACUUGAAUCCGGCAGAGGGGGGUGGAAUGCCACGUGUAGCAGUGAAAUGCGUAGAGAUGUGGCGGAACACCGAUGGCGAAGGCAGCCCCCUGGGCCAAUACUGACGCUCAUGCACGAAAGCGUGGGGAGCAAACAGG
rnacentral:rRNA from 1 species